GAUGAACGCUAGCUACAGGCUUAACACAUGCAAGUCGAGGGGAAACGAUAUUGGAAGCUUGCUUCCGAUAGGCGUCGACCGGCGCACGGGUGAGUAACGCGUAUCCAACCUGCCCACCACUUGGGGAUAACCUUGCGAAAGUAAGACUAAUACCCAAUGAUAUCUCUAGAAGACAUCUGAAGGAGAUUAAAGAUUUAUCGGUGAUGGAUGGGGAUGCGUCUGAUUAGCUUGUUGGCGGGGUAACGGCCCACCAAGGCGACGAUCAGUAGGGGUUCUGAGAGGAAGGUCCCCCACAUUGGAGCUGAGACACGGUCCAAACUCCUACGGGAGGCAGCAGUGAGGAAUAUUGGUCAAUGGGCGAGAGCCUGAACCAGCCAAGUAGCGUGCAGGAUGACGGCCCUAUGGGUUGUAAACUGCUUUUAUAAGGGAAUAAAGUGAGUCUCGUGAGACUUUUUGCAUGUACCUUAUGAAUAAGGACCGGCUAAUUCCGUGCCAGCCGCCGCUGUAA
rnacentral:rRNA from 1 species